CACGAAGUUAGCCGGUGCUUAUUCUUUGGGUACCGUCAUCCCAACCAGGUAUUAACCGGCUGGAUUUCUUUCCCAACAAAAGGGCUUUACAACCCGAAGGCCUUCUUCACCCACGCGGUAUGGCUGGAUCAGGCUUGCGCCCAUUGUCCAAUAUUCCCCACUGCUGCCUCCCGUAGGAGUCUGGACCGUGUCUCAGUUCCAGUGUGGCUGAUCAUCCUCUCAGACCAGCUACGGAUCGUCGCCUUGGUGGGCCUUUACCCCGCCAACUAGCUAAUCCGACAUCGGCUCAUUCAAUCGCGCAAGGCCCGAAGGUCCCCUGCUUUCACCCGUAGGUCGUAUGCGGUAUUAGCGUAAGUUUCCCUACGUUAUCCCCCACGAAAAAGUAGAUUCCGAUGUAUUCCUCACCCGUCCGCCACUCGCCACCCAUAAGAGCAAGCUCUUACUGUGCUGCCGUUCGACUUGCAUGUGUUAGGCCUACCGCCAGCGUUCACUCUGAGCCAGGAUCAAACUCU
rnacentral:rRNA from 1 species